UACGUAGGGGGCUAGCGUUGUCCGGAAUCAUUGGGCGUAAAGUGCGUGUAGGCGGUCCGGUAAGUCCGCUGUGAAAGUCGAGGGCUCAACCCUCGAAUGCCGGUGGAUACUGUCGGGCUAGAGUACGGAAGAGGCGAGUGGAAUUCCUGGUGUAGCGGUGAAAUGCGCAGAUAUCAGGAGGAACACCAAUUGCGAAGGCAGCUCGCUGGGACGUUACUGACGCUGAGACGCGAAAGCGUGGGGAGCAAACAGG
rnacentral:rRNA from 1 species